AUGGUUCACCACCAUUUUGUCGAGAGGAACGAAUCACCUUUCCAGUACCGACUAAUCUUUGACAGACGUCGUGCUGUCCAUAUUACUCUCCCUGCUCCUGCUUUUUUUGAUUAUCAAGCAAGAGGAGGGUAUAUUAUUACCAAAGAGAAAGCAGAUGAGUAUGAGAGGAGAGCGGAGGCCGCUCGUCGCCACACUGCAGCUCAGGAGGCGAUAGCCGCUGCAUCUCAGUACGACCCCAACUUUUACUACGGAUAUCAGUCAGGCCAGUCGUGGCCAUAUACCAACUUAGGCCAAAAGCCUAAGCUUGGGGGAGUACGUAUUUUCCACCGACAUUACAUUUAUGUUCACACACACUCAUUGCUAGGUGUCGAUACUCAUACUUUUUCAUUGUAUCAUCCAUACUACUUUAUUUUCUAUUUUAUGUUUUCUUCUUGUGUUUUUAAUAAACCUUAA
rnacentral:rRNA from 1 species